GCCUGGGAAUUACGAGCCCAAACUUAAAACCCAAAGGACUUGACGGUGUCCCACCCCCCUAGAGGAGCCUGUUCUAUAAUCGAUACCCCCCGAUACACCCCACCACCCCUUGCACACCAGCCCGUAUACCUCCGUCGCAAGCUUACCAUGUGAACGCCUCAGUGAGCCAAAAGAUCUAUCAUCAACACGUCAGGUCAAGGUGCAGCCCACGGAGUGGAAAGAAAUGGGCUACAAUUUCUACCAUAGAACAAACGAAAGACUACAUGCAACACAGUCACUGAAGGCGGAUUUAGAAGUAAAAAGAAAAUAGAGAGCUCUUUUUAACCUGGCACUGGGACGCGUACACACCGCCCGUCACCCUCUUCAAAUCAUCCCACUACCACAAAGAAGAGGCAAGUCGUAACACGGUAAGCGUACUGGAAAGUGCGCUUGGAGCAAAAUGUACCUUAACCAAAGCCUUUCG
rnacentral:rRNA from 1 species